AGCGAACGCUGGCGGCAUGCCUAACACAUGCAAGUCGCACGGGGGGGCUUCGGCCUCCCAGUGGCGGACGGGUGAGGAACGCGUAGGGACCUGUCGAGGGGUGGGGGAUAACCGCGGGAAACUGCGGCUAAUACCGCAUGACGCCGCGGCGUGACAGCCGGGGCCAAAGGCGAAAGCCGCCCGCCGAGGGGCCUGCGUCCGAUUAGCUGGUUGGCGGGGUAGCGGCCCACCAAGGCGUCGAUCGGUAGCUGAUCUGAGAGGGUGAUCAGCCACACCGGGACUGAGACACGGCCCGGACUCCUACGGGAGGCAGCAGUGGGGAAUAUUGGACAAUGGGCGCAAGCCUGAUCCAGCAAUGCCGCGUGGGUGAAGAAGGUCUUCGGAUUGUAAAGCCCUUUCGGCGGGGACGAUGGUGACGGUACCCGCAGAAGAAGCCCCGGCUAACUUCGU
rnacentral:rRNA from 1 species